UGGCUCAGGAUGAACGCUGGCGGCGUGCUUAACACAUGCAAGUCGAACGAUGAACCUCACUUGUGGGGGGAUUAGUGGCGAACGGGUGAGUAACACGUGAGUAACCUGCCCUUGACUCUGGGAUAAGCCUGGGAAACCGGGUCUAAUACUGGAUACGACCUUCCCGCGCAUGCGGUGUUGGUGGAAAGCUUUUGCGGUUUUGGAUGGACUCGCGGCCUAUCAGCUUGUUGGUGGGGUAAUGGCCUACCAAGGCGACGACGGGUAGCCGGCCUGAGAGGGUGACCGGCCACACUGGGACUGAGACACGGCCCAGACUCCUACGGGAGGCAGCAGUGGGGAAUAUUGCACAAUGGGCGCAAGCCUGAUGCAGCGACGCCGCGUGAGGGAUGAAGGCCUUCGGGUUGUAAACCUCUUUCAGUAGGGAAGAAGCUGGCCUUUGGGUUGGUGACGGUA
rnacentral:rRNA from 1 species